rnacentral:rRNA from 1 species
AUGUCCGGUUCCUUUGGGGGAUGGAUCCUAAAGAGUUCGCCUAUCCCAAUAACAAAGAAACCAGACUUAAAUGAUCCUAUAUUAAAAGCUGAAUUAGCUAAAGGGAUGGGACAUAAUUGUUACAGGGAACCCACAUGUCCCAACGAUCUUUCAUAUAUUUUUCCAGUAGUAAUUCUAGGUACUGUUGCAUGUAAUGUAGGUUUAGUGGUUCUCGAGCCAUCAAUGAUUGGUGAACCGGCAGAUCCGUUUGGUUUAGAUCCAUCUUAA